UGCGGCUUGAGAUCCCGAUCUGGAAAUUGAAGAGUUGGAGCAGUGUGACUUGGUAAGAUGCCUAUCUGGAAGUUGAUGAGAGAAAAUCUGGGACAAAUACCGUGAUGGUUUCGUUAUGGAAGAAGGCGCUGAUGAACUGGCAAUGGAGAGCUUGGAAAGCACAUUGAACAGAGGAGCUUCAAAAUCUUUCUCCUUCACACGAUUGGAGCAACCCUAGAUCUAAAAGGAGAAAAUGCCAGGA